GAAAGAAUAUCGGAGACGGAUGGGCAUGCGGCGCAUUAGCUAGUUGGCGGGGUAACGGCCCACCAAGGCGACGAUGCGUAGGGGUUCUGAGAGGAAGGUCCCCCACACUGGUACUGAGACACGGACCAGACUCCUACGGGAGGCAGCAGUGAGGAAUAUUGGUCAAUGGGCGAGAGCCUGAACCAGCCAAGUCGCGUGAGGGAGUACUGCCCUAUGGGUUGUAAACCCCUUUUGUCGGGGAGCAAAAGCCGGACGUGUCCGUCUGUGAGAGUACCCGAAGAAAAAGCAUCGGCUAACUCCGUGCCAGCAGCCGCGGUAAUACGGAGGAUGCGAGCGUUAUCCGGAUUUAUUGGGUUUAAAGGGUGCGCAGGCGGAUUUUUAAGUCAGCGGUCAAAUCGUGGGGCUCAACCCCAUCCAGCCGUUGAAACUGGGGAUCUAGAGUGUGCGAGAGGUAUGCGGAAUGCGUGGUGUAGCGGUGAAAUGCAUAGAUAUCACGCAGAACCCCGAUUGCGAAGGCAGCAUACCGGUGCACAACUGACGCUCAGGCACGAAAGCGUGGGUAUCGAACAGGAUUAGAUACCCUGGUAGUCCACGCAGUAAACGAUGAAUGCUACCUGUUUGGCCAGAUUGAAGGCUGA
rnacentral:rRNA from 1 species